AAAUUUCAAAGCACCGUUUGUCGGGCCAUCCAUCGGGUUCUUCUGGAGUCUUUUUAUAAAUACUACAUAGCUGAACAGCACCACUGUAGUAUUGAAUCAAUGCAGCAAAUGCUACAGCGGCGAAAAAACUGGUAGGUCUUUGAAGAGCAGGCAUCCACAUACAUUGCAGAGCCCAAUCCCUGUCACCCUUGUAACCAAAAACAUUCAAAAUUGUUAUCAUUUUCGGUGGUAGAAGAGAAAUCAAAAGGGUGAAAAGACCGGUGCAAAGCAAAGUUCCCGUUUGAACAUACUCAUUAGCAAGGUCAACGUCAGACCUUCCAGUUGAAUGGAAAGCAGCAGAAAAAUGAUCAAAAUGGCGUUUAUUGAUUUUACUGAAAAUAGAAUGAGCCUUACGCAACUUGUAAACAGAUUUUACACUAGUAACAAUCGACUCAGAACAAAACCCAAUCAAUGCAGAAAGCAACAACAUUAAACCAAUUGAAACUCUGUAUUCAACGCCAGGAUCAAAAGUCGAUAAAAACGUAUUGUUUUUGGAAGCAUCGUCUUUAUCAGCAGACAGGGCUUUGAUAGCAAUGUCUAUUCUGUUUUGCGAAUCUUUAAAACGCGAAGGCUCGAAAGUAAGCACUGCCUGGAUAAACGCAACUACUGCUUGACCACUUAAAUGGAAUGAACUAUUUCCGCUCUUAAAUUUCUCGGUAGCCUCAUCCAUCUUGUCAUCCAAGAUGUCGUUCAAACCUUGAAUGACGGUGACAAAAUUUUGCAACCUUUGCUCUUGACUCUUUGACAUUUUUAAAACACACUGACGAAAACAGGGAGGGAGAUGAUAGAAAGCGAAGAUGGAAUUGGAAUGGAAGGAAUAGGGGAUUUAUCUGGGCAAGAUUUUUUGAGAACCUGCUAUCGUAGAU